CCCGCACAAGCAGCGGAGCGUGUGGUUUAAUUCGAUGCUACACGAAGAACCUUACCAGGGUUUGACAUGCAAGUGGUAGGAAACCGAAAGGCGACCGACCCUUCGGGGAGCUUGCACAGGUGCUGCAUGGCUGUCGUCAGCUCGUGUCGUGAGAUGUUCGGUUAAGUCCGCUAACGAGCGCAACCCUCGCUGUGUGUUACAAGUGUCACACGGUACUGCCGGUCUUAAGCCGGAGGAAGGUGGGGAUGACGUCAAGUCAGCAUGGCCUUUAUGUCCUGGGCUACACACACGCUACAAUGGCCAACACAAUAGGUUGCUAAGCCGCGAGGUGGAGCCAAUCCUCAAAGUUGGUCUCAGUUCAGAUUGCAGGCUGCAACCCGCCUGCAUGAAGAUGGAGUUGCUAGUAACCGCAGGUCAGCUAUACUGCGGUGAAUACGUUCCCGGGGCUU
rnacentral:rRNA from 1 species